rnacentral:rRNA from 1 species
GAUGAACGCUGGCGGCGUGCCUAAUACAUGCAAGUCGAGCGAACAGACGAGGAGCUUGCUCCUUUGACGUUAGCGGCGGACGGGUGAGUAACACGUGGGUAACCUACCUAUAAGACUAGGAUAACUUCGGGAAACCGGAGCUAAUACCGGAUAAUAUUUCGAACCGCAUGGUUCGAUAGUGAAAGAUGGCUUUGCUAUCACUUAUAGAUGGCCCUGCGCCGGAUUAGCUAGUUGGUAAGGUAACGGCUUACCAAGGCAACGAUACGUAGCCGACCUGAGAGGGUGAUCGGCCACACUGGAACGGAGACACGGUCCAGACUCCUACGGGAGGCAGCAGUAGGGAAUCUUCCGCAAUGGGCGAAAGCCUGACGGAGCAACGCCGCGUGAGUGAUGAAGGUCUUCGGAUCGUAAAACUCUGUUAUUAGGGAAGAACAAACGUGUAAGUAACUGUGCACGUCUUGACGGUACCUAAUCAGAAAGCCACGGCUAACUACGUGCCAGCCGCCGCGGUAA